rnacentral:rRNA from 1 species
AUUGACGCUGGCGGCAUGCUUUACACAUGCAAGUCGGACGGCAGCACAGAGAAGCUUGCUCUUGGGUGGCGAGUGGCGAACGGGUGAGUACAUAUCGGAACGUACCGAGCAGUGGGGGAUAACUAGUCGAAAGAUUAGCUAAUACCGCAUAUUUUCUGAGGAAGAAAGCAGGGGACCAUUUGGCCUUGCGCUGUUUGAGCGGCCGAUAUCUGAUUAGCUAGUUGGUGGGGUAAAGGCCUACCAAGGCGACGAUCAGUAGCGGGUCUGAGGGGAUGAUCCGCCACACUGGGACUGAGACACGGCCCAGACUCCUACGGGAGGCAGCAGUGGGGAAUUUUGGACAAUGGGCGCAAGCCUGAUCCAGCCAUGCCGCGUGUCUGAGGAAGGCCUUCGGGUUGUAAAGGACUUUUGUCAGUGUGAAGAAAAGGGCGGGGUUACACUACCCCUGUCUGAUGACGGCUACCCUGAAGCAAUAAGUCACCGGCAUA